rnacentral:rRNA from 1 species
AGAGAUGUGUGAUGACGCAUAUCAAUAAGCGGAGGAAAAGAAACUAACAAGGAUUCCCCUAGUAACGGCGAGUGAAGCGGGAAGAGCUCAAAUUUGAAAUCUUAAAGGGUUUCCCUUUACGAAUUGUAGUUUAAAGAAGUGUUUUCUGUUGGAGUUUCGGUAAAAGUUCUUUGGAAUAGGACAUCAUAGAGGGUGAGAAUCCCGUAUUUGUACCGUUCCUUUCAUGCUGUGUGAUACACUUUCAAAGAGUCGGAUUGUUUGGGAAUGCAGUCCAAAAUGGGUGGUAAAUUUCAUCUAAAGCUAAAUAUUGGCGAGAGACCGAUAGCGAACAAGUACCGUGAGGGAAAGAUGAAAAGAACUUUGAAAAGAGAGUUAAACAGUACGUGAAAUUGUCAAAAGGGAAGCGUUUGACACCAGUGCUGUUUUUCCGAAAAUCAAUUACGAAUGUUUUAGUUUUUGAGGAGUUAUGACUUCAUCGGCUUGCUUCUCUCUUUAUGAAACUUUCUUAAUGCACUUUUCGGUUAACAAGUCAACAUCAACUUCUUUUGUUGUAAAAGGGUAUGAGGAAGGUGGCUUUCUUUUCGGAGAAAGUGUUUAUAGCCUUGUAGCCUCUGCAAUCGGAGAGAUUGAGGUCUGCAGCGUAGAUCCUUCGGGGUUAGAUACAGUUUGUGCUAAGUUAUAGCCUUUCAUAGACAACUUGUUGACUAUGAUCAGUCAUGUAGCUUACUCGCUGAUGCUAUUUUACCUACGCUUAGGAUGUUGACGCAUGAGAUAUACGC